CCUUCGGGUUAGUGGCGGACGGGUGAGUAACGCGUGGGAAUCUGCCCUCAGGAGGGGGAUAACGGUUGGAAACGACCGCUAAUACCCCAUAUGCCGAGAGGUGAAAUGAAUUUCGCCUGAGGAUGAGCCCGCGUCUGAUUAGCUUGUUGGUGAGGUAAUGGCUCACCAAGGCAUCGAUCAGUAGCUGGUCUGAGAGGAUGAUCAGCCACACUGGGACUGAGACACGGCCCAGACUCCUACGGGAGGCAGCAGUGGGGAAUUUUCCGCAAUGGGCGAAAGCCUGACGGAGCAACGCCGCGUGAGGGAUGAAGGCCUCUGGGCUGUAAACCUCUUUUAUCAAGGAAGAAGAUCUGACGGUACUUGAUGAAUAAGCCACGGCUAAUUCCGUGCCAGCAGCCGCGGUAAUACGGGAGUGGCAAGCGUUAUCCGGAAUUAUUGGGCGUAAAGCGUCCGCAGGCG
rnacentral:rRNA from 1 species